rnacentral:tRNA from 1 species
GGUGGCUCAGUGGUAGAGCUCUUGCCUUGCAUGCAUGAGUCCAUGGGUUCGAUUCCUUAGCACCA